UACGGGAGGCAGCAGUUGGGGAAUCUUCGCAAUGGACGAAAGUCUGACGGAGCAACGCCGCGUGAGUGACGAAGGUUUUCGGAUUGUAAAGCUCUGUCUUUUGGGACGAAUGUUACGCAUGUAAAUAAUGUGGGUAAAUGACGGUACCAGAGAAGGAAGCCACGGCUAACUACGUGCCAGCAGCCGCGGUAAUACGUAGGUGGCAAGCGUUGUCCGGAAUUAUUGGGCUUAAAGCGCGCGCAGGCGGAAAGUUAAGUCUAUCUUAAAAGUGCGGGGCUCAACCCCGUGAGGGGAUAGAAACUGGCAUUCUUGAGUGUCGGAGAGGACAGUGGAAUUCCCAGUGUAGCGGUGAAAUGCGUAGAUAUUGGGAGGAACACCAGUGGCGAAGGCGACUGUCUGGACGAUGUCUGACGCUGAGGCGCGAAAGCCAGGGUAGUGAACGGGAUUAAAUACCCCGGUAAUCCUGGCCGUAAACGAUGGGUACUAGGUGUUGGGGGUAUCGACCCCUCCAGUGCCGGAGUUAACGCAAUAAGUACCCCGCCUGGGGAGUACGGCCGCAAGGUUGAAACUCAAAGGAAUUGACGG
rnacentral:rRNA from 1 species